CAGGCUCUCGCCUCAUCUUCUUUCAAUCCCCAUCUGGCCAUCUCCUCUUUGUGGAAGCCAUGCGGAGGAGCGCCCAUCCAGGCUGCCGGUGCCCCUGGCCACUGGAUCCCUCCCCCGGCGUCGUCGUUCGAGGCACCGCCGCGGCGCCGUCCCGCUUCUGCCGCCGCGGCCAUCUCCACGACGAUGUGGCAGACCUCCUCUCGGAGCUCCACGUUGAAGGCUGGGCCGAGCUGCCGCUGCCUGGGUCCCCCGUGUGCGCUGCCCGCAUCCUGUUCACUGCCGCAGUGCUGCCAUCGGCGUGCUUCGCGCUACCCUCCACCACACUCCCGGUUGGCACCAUGCCGCCGAUGAUGAUCCCAUGGUGAUGACGACAUGCAGCCUAUCCUUGCUGCGCUGGAGGUCGUCCAUCCUCCACCCUCUGCCGGGGACGAGGUACGCCGCGGUGCAUUCAUCCAUGCUUCACCCCUUCCGACCCAUCUCGGACGGCGCCGCACUGUGGUAGCAGCCAGUCGCGACGAGACCGGCAACGCCUCCGCGUGCGGGCAGCGCACUUUCAAGGCCCGGUUGCAGUUCGCCGCAUGCCGCCAUCACCGAGCGUACGUGCUUUCCGUCAACAAGAGCACGGACCACAGCACGUACACUAUGCCGCUGCACUGUUUGUCCUUCAAGAUUAGCUGCAUGAUUAUCCGUCAAAAACCAGUCAUCUGAAGGACAGACCGUCGUUUGCGGGCCGUGUGCUGUUUGUUAGCUGCUUCCACCAGGUGUGAGAGAUCAAUAGAGAACGAGACGGCGUACAGGAAUCAAAAAUAAAUUCGUCUCUCUCUCUCUCUCUCUCUCUCUCUCUCUCUCUCUCUCUCUCUCUCUCUCUCUCUCUCUCUCUCUCUCUCUCCUUUUGCUUUCUCUCUCUCUCUCUCUCCUUUUGCUUUUUGAUGUACGUGUUUCAUGCAUGCAGCUCCGCUGACGUGCUACUCUGUUUGAGUUCUUCUGUUUGAAGUAUGAGAGAAAUCAAAUUCCUAUGUAUAGUGAGCCUUCCAAUUUGCACUAAUUAUUUAUGCAACUUUUGAUGUACUUGAGGUGCAGGAAUCUACAAGCAAGUUUGAUAAUGCAGCGUAUGUAGUUCCUACUAUAGAAUCUCUAAAAAGGCUUAUAUUUAUGAACGGAUGGAGUAUUAGUUGAUAACAUGCGGAGCUCAAUCUAAUGAAUCAGAAACGAAGUGUGGACAUAGUACUACAUUUAGUGUUUAAGGUUUUUGCAGAUUGAGCAUUUGUGGUUUCAUGAAUUUUCACUAUUUUGAAGAUGUGGUGACCGCAGGCACAACCGCACAAUCAUAUUAUUAUUUUUGUAUUUUUUGUUUGAAGGAAGGCCUACUCCUCUUGGUAAGUUCACCUUUUUUACUGUGCCUGUGCCGCUGCUGCUACUGAUAAUUUCCUUCUGUAUCUGAUUCUAUAUUGUAUAUAUGGUUGGUAUUUGAGUGAUGCCUACUCGGUCCAUCUUUCCUUUUAUCUCCAUGUAGAACUAGGUGUGACACCUACUGAAGUAGCGUGCAGAAAAUCCAUGCCAUUUGGCGGCCUCAACGAAGCGCAACGUUGACUCACUUACCUGUACAUGCUCUAUAUAUUACCGGUUGUGCAUUCACGAGCAAGAUCAGCUCAGUAUACCACAAUGGACGAAGCUUACCGCCCCCAAAGAGCAUCCUCCGUAGCAAAGCAAAUUAAGAAGGGCAAACAUCCAGUCCUAAAUUUUGAUCAUGGGAGCGGAAGCAGCUCGGAGGAGAAUCUUAUAGUAUAUACAUUCCAAGACGACCAAUACUUGAAACAGUGAGUGAACAGUUGGCCUAAAAGUACAAGGCUACUCCUGUUGGUAUGUACAUGAAGGUAUGAUACAAGCGUCCGUACUAAUUGCUCUGCCAUGACAGAGAUAUAGUUUCAGAGAAUCCUCCAUUACAUAUGAAGGAGAGGCAGCUAAUAUAGAAGAUGAAGCAAUG